AUCAGCUUGUUGGCGGGGUAACGGCCCACCAAGGCGACGACGGGUAGGUGGUCUGAGAGGAUGGUCACCCACACUGGGACUGAGAUACUGCCCAGACUCCUACGGGAGGCUGCAGUCGAGAAUCAUCCGCAAUGGGCGAAAGCCUGACGGUGCAAUGCCGCGUGGGGGAUGAAGGCCUUCGGGUCGUAAACCCCUGUCAGAGGGGACGAAAAACAUGACGGUACCCUCAGAGGAAGCCACGGCUAACUACGUGCCAGCAGCCGCGGUAAUACGUAGGUGGCGAGCGUUAUGCGGAUACACUGGGCGUAAAGGGUCCGCAGGGGGUUUGCCGAGUCCGAUGUGAAAGUCCGCAGCUCAACUGCGGAACUGCGUCGGAUACUGGUGAACUUGAGUGCGCGAAGGGCGAGCGGAAUUCCAGGUGUAGCGGUGGAAUGCGUAGAUAUCUGGAAGAACACCGGCGGCGAAAGCGGCUCGCUGGCGCGCCACUGACCUUCAUUGACGAAAGCCGUGGGAGCGAACAGGAUUAGAUACACUGGUUAGUCCACGCUGUAAACGGUGCAGACUCGAAUGCGGGGGGCAGUCCCCCUCCGUGUCUAAACCAACGCGUUAAGUCUCCGCCCUGGGACUACGCCCGCAAGGCUUAAACUCAAAAGGAAUUGAUCGGGGGCCCCCACAAAACAGGUGGAGCAUGUGGCUUAAAUUCGAGGCAAACGCGAAAGAACCUUACCCGGGCUUGACAUAUUCCGGCCGGCCUGUGAAAGCAGGUUUUCCUUUCGGGGACGCGAUAUACAGGUGCUGCAUGCAUGUCGUCAGCUCGUGCCGUGAGGUGUUCGGUUAAGUCCGGCAACGAGCGCAACCCGUAUCGUCAGUUGCCAU
rnacentral:rRNA from 1 species